rnacentral:rRNA from 1 species
GACGAACGCUGGCGGCGUGCUUAACACAUGCAAGUCGAACGAAGUGGCGCACGGGUGAGUAACGCGUAAUCAACCUGCCCUUCAGAGGGGGACAACAGUUGGAAACGACUGCUAAUACCGCACACUGAAGGAGGGGAUUGUGUCUGAUUAGCUAGUUGGAGGGGUAACGGCCCACCAAGGCGAGGAUCAGUAGCCGGGCUUAGAAGAUGAACGGCCAACAUGGGAAUGAGACAACGCCCAGACUCCUACGGGGGGCAGCAGUGGGGAAUCUUCCGCAAUUGACGAAAGUCUGACGGAGCAAAGCCGGGUUAGGGAAGACGGCCUUCGGGUUGGAAAGCUAUGUUAAUCGGGACGCGGUACCGGAAUAGAAAGCCACGGCUAACUACGUGCCAGCAGCCGCGGUAAUUC